CAGUCAGAGGAUAGUGUCAGCACACAGUCUCAGAACCAAGGAUCUGCCUGGGAACACACAGUUCUUUGCUCCUCAUGGUAUCCUUCUUUCUCCUCCCAGGAUCCCAUCUGCUUCGUGUCUGGGGCGGAAGGAUCACAAACCGUCCAGAAGAGGAAACGCCAUGGGUUGCUCUCUUCAAGCUGAUACCGGCCAUCAGGGAAGCCCUGGCCCCAGCUGGGAACUUAGGGCAUCGGGAUCUUCUCUUAGCUCAUCUGCUUCCUACAUGGACCCUGUGAAGUAGGCACUGUUGUUAUCCCCAGUCUUCAGAAGAUGAACUCAAACCUCCGAGAGGGUCAGCAACUUGCCCAAGGCCACACAGCACUUCCUGUGCUAGGCUGGAGUACAUGGCCACUUGGCUCUGCUAAGAACACAGAGGCCUCCGACCUCCAUCCCUGGCUUGUUCUGCUGGCUGCCUGGAUGCCUUCUCUUCUACUUUGGCUGUCUUCCACCUCUGAGUGCCCAGGACUGGGGUACAGGCGGCUGUGUGGCUCCUCACCAGCCACUUUGGCAGUCUGGAGCAGAGACAUGACACAGCCAGCUCUCAACCUCCUUAGCGCCGGCCCGCUGUCCUGCCCAAGGGCCAGCCUGGCAGGGAGAACAGGGAAUCGAUGCCAUUGGUCCAGUCACUGUUCCCCACAGCUGGCUCACUCUCCUGCCACUUUGAAGGGCUCCCCCUCCCCAGCCUGGGAUCCUGCUUUCUUCUGUGGAAAAUGAGGGCCAGUCAUGGCUGUUCUGCUUGUGUCCAGAGGGUGGGGUUGAGAGGACAGGGAUAGGGCUGCCUAGAACACUCUCCCUUCCUCCAUAACAAAGCAUCAUGAAGAAUAGAGAAGCGAACAAAUCCAGCAGAGAAUGGAGCCCAUGGAGUUUACUCAGUGUGUGGGCGACAUUUCCCCAAAGCAGCUGAGAGAGGGGGAGGUCACACCGGGAUGUGUGUGUCACUGGUGACACUCUGGGAAGCUUUAGCAAAAACAUUUGCCAGGGGCAGAUGCAUGCCUGUCCUCCCAGCAGAGGCAGCUGGAUCUCUGUGAUUCUGAGGCCAGCCUGGUCUACAUAGCAAGUUCCAGACCAGCCUGGUCUACAUAGCAAGAGUAUGUCUCAAAACAAAAUAAAACACUUCCUGGAAAGUUUCAUUCCCUACUGCUACAGAUGGAGGAGAGUUGGGAAUGGUGGAGGGUGUCUAUGAUCCCAGUAUUGGGGAGGCUGAGCUUAAGGCCAACCUGUGUUACAUAGCCGUGUCACAAACAAAUGAAACAGAGCAGUUCCUAAAUCA